rnacentral:misc_RNA from 1 species
CAAAAAUAAACCAAUACACAAAUUGAAGGAAAGAGAGUAACAAUAAAUAAUACAACAAAUUUACACAAAUUUUACAGAAACUAUCAAGAGAACCAACAAAGCCCUCUCUCUCUCGUUCCUGGGAGUCCAGACAAUUUCAGACAGCUCUCUCCUGCCAAUUUAGCAGCAACCUCAAAACAUCACAACACCCAAGCAAACAUGGAAAGAAAGAAGGCAUACAAAACAAAUCCAACUCCCACCCACCAAUCCUGUUUAUAAGACUAUCCAAAUUGGAGAAAUAAGAUUUAAAUUUUUCAACAAAUGGAACAAGAAAAAAAGAAGAGAAGAAAACAUUGUAUCAUUCAUAAAUAAAGAACCCUCGCUUAUUGUGUCUGCAGUUUUGUGUUCAUCAUCAAAUUGAAAUGGGAGAUUUUAUCAAGUUUUUGCAGUUCCAUCAAUCAGAGACGGGUUUGGUCUUGGAUCUGUACAACAAGAUCUUCUUCUUCUUGGAGCUCAAAUUGUCAAUUGUGAGCACAAUUUUACCAGCUUCACCAACCCUGUAGCUGUUGGAGAUCACUGGUUCAUCAGCUGGCCCAAGCUUCGUUGUCUUUUGUACAAUCACAGUGUAGCCACCCUCAGCACUCGGCAAGAACUCUGCCCCAUAGCUAACAUCCCAUCCUACAACUCUCAAUUCCCAAACCAGAAGGCUUGGCUCGGAAAUUGGGAAUUCAACAGUAUGCUUGGUUGCCGCCUUUAUGGCAACUUCAGUAACAGGGUCUUCAAUGGAGAAUUCUUGCUCGCCUUCCCUGCUUAAUCCACCAUACUGAACUGGUACUUGUUCAGGAGCAACGUAUUUGAAUAGGGUCUCAGCAGUCUUGGAUGGUCCGGCGAACACAAACUUGCUCUUCGUUCUCUGAGUGAAAAAGGGGCUGAUCAUCCUGUUCACGGCCAAGUACCACCAUGGAACGUUGAUGAACACCUGUUUG